GACGAACGCUGGCGGCGUGCUUAACACAUGCAAGUCGAACGGAAAGGCCCUGCUUUUGUGGGGUGCUCGAGUGGCGAACGGGUGAGUAACACGUGAGUAACCUGCCCUUGACUUUGGGAUAACUUCAGGAAACUGGGGCUAAUACCGGAUAGGAGCUCCUGCUGCAUGGUGGGGGUUGGAAAGUUUCGGCGGUUGGGGAUGGACUCGCGGCUUAUCAGCUUGUUGGUGGGGUAGUGGCUUACCAAGGCUUUGACGGGUAGCCGGCCUGAGAGGGUGACCGGCCACCUUGGGACUGAGAUACGGCCCAGACUCCUACGGGAGGCAGCAGUGGGGAAUAUUGCACAAUGGGCUGAAGCCUGAUGCAGCAACGCCGCGUGCGGGAUGACGGCCUUCGGGUUGUAAACCGCUUUCGCCUGUGACGAAGCGUGAGUGACGGUAAUGGGUAAAGAAGCACCGGCUAACUACGUG
rnacentral:rRNA from 1 species